rnacentral:rRNA from 1 species
GACGUAGGGCGCGAGCGUUGUCCGGAUUAUUGGGCGUAAAGAGCUCGUAGGCGGCUUGUCGCGUCGACUGUGAAAUCCCGCGGCUCAACUGCGGGUCUGCAGUCGAUACGGGCAGGCUAGAGUUCGGUGAGGGAGACGUGGAAUUCCUGGUGUAGCGGUGGAAUGCGCAGAUAUCAGGAGGAACACCAAUGGCGAAGGCAGAUCUCUGGGCCGUAACUGACGCUGAGGAGCGAAAGCAUGGGGAGCGAACAGG